AUGACAGGGACAGAGAGAAGGGCUGGAGAAGCAGGAGCACAAUCGGAGACCCACCCCGAGGUUGCAGGAGCCGCGGAGACCCUCGUCCCGACAGGAGCCCCAAGCGCCCACACCCGAUUCUAUUUUCAGUUCAGGCCCAAAUCCCUGGCGGUUGGUCGAGGUAGAGGCGGGGCUCAGCGGCCUGGGCUGUCACCCACCCGGGGACACGUUCUUACACCCUCCAAUGGAUACACAGGUGCGACCUGGACCCGGACUGGAGCCUCCUCCGCGAGUAUGAACAUAACCUACGACGGCGCCAGUUACCUUGUCCUAAACCAGGAACUGCGCUCUUGGACCCCAGAGGACAAGGCGGCUCAGAUGCCCUGGCGGAGGAACAUGCAGAGCUGCUGAAAACCUACCCGCAGGGAAGGUGGCCGGAGCGGCUCAGCAAAGGCCUUAAGAAUGGGAAGGAGAAGCUGCAGUGCGCAGAUCCCCCAAAGACACGUGUGACCCACCACCCCAUCUCAGACCAUGAGGCCACCCUGAGGUGCUGGGCCCUGGGCUUCUACCCUGCGGAGAUCACACUGACCUGGCAGCGGGAUGGAGAGGAACAAACUCAGGACACAGAGCUCGUGGAGACCAGGCCUACAGGGGAUGGAACCUUCCAGAAGUGGGCGGCUGUGGUGGUGCCUUCUGGAGAGGAGCAGAGAUACACCUGUCAUGUGCAGCAUGAGGGUCUGCCCGAGCCCCUCACCCUGAGAUGGGAGCCGUCUUCCCAGUCCACCAUCCUCAUCGUGGGCAUCAUUGCUGGCCUGGUUCUCCUUGGAGCUGUGGUCACUGGAGCUGUGGUCGCUGCUGUGAUGUGGAGGAGGAAGAGCUCAGAUAGAUAAGGCGGGAGCUACUCUCAGGCUGCAAGCAGUGACAGUGCCCAGGGCUCUGAUGUGUCUCUCACGGCUUUAAAG